CUGCUGCCUUCCGUAGGAGUCUGGGCCGUAUCUCAGUCCCAAUGUGGCCGUUCAACCUCUCAGUCCGGCUACUGAUCGUCGACUUGGUAGGCCGUUACCCCACCAACUAUCUAAUCAGACGCAAGCCCAUCUAUCAGCGAAUUGCUUCUUUCCCUUUUGUAACAUGUGUUACUAAGGCAUAUGCGGUAUUAGCAGUCAUUUCUAACUGUUGUUCCCCUCUGAUAGGCAGGUUGCUUACGUGUUACU
rnacentral:rRNA from 1 species